rnacentral:lncRNA from 1 species
CACUGAGGACAUCCAAAACUCACUCAAGAUUACCAAGUGGUAGGAAAGUACUAACUCCUAGGCAUAGCCCUAGGGGAGCGACUACAAUGUGAAUACUCAUGGAAUGCCUAGCCAGGUGAAGAAGUGAAUGCAUGUUGGCAUCCCAGAGGGCCCCCCAUAAGAGGGCAUAGUUUGGGGUUCAGAUUUGACUCCAGCAUACUGUUGAAAUUGGGGCACAGGGGGCUAGUGAUUAGUCAGGAUCAAUCAGUGGAGAGGAGAUUAAAACUCACAUCUGGGAAUCAGGAAUCAGAACUUGUAGUUCUUUUUUUUGUUUUUUUGAAAUGGAGUCUCGCUCUGUCGCCCAGGCUGGAGUGCAGUGGCGUGAUCUCGGCUCACUGCAACCUCUGCCUCUUGGGUUCACCAAUUCUCCCACCUCAGCCUCCUGAGUAGCUGGGAUUACAGGCGCCCGCCACCACAGCCGGCUAAUUUUUGUAUUUUUAGGAGAGACGGGGUUUCACCAUGUUGGUCAGGCUGGUCUUGAACUCCUGACCUUGUGAUCCACCUGCCUUAGCCUCCCAAAGUGCUGGCAUUACGGGCGUGAGCCACCAUCCCCGGCCCUAUAAUAAUUCUUCUUUUGCCCCUUAAUAUCCUCACCCACAUGUCCUGUACCCUGCCUGAACCCUCCUCCUCUUUUUGUUCUGAUCUUUGAGCUCCCUAGAGCCCAUAAUUCUUUAGAGCAGGUGUGUCCCAAGUCUGAAACAUGCCCUUAUUUGUCCCAAGCUCUGGACACUUCUCACCCCAAGGCGGAUCAAUCAUGAUUAAAUCACUCCAAUUAAACUUUAGGCUCCAGUCGGACCUUCAGCCAAAUGGAAAAAAAACUAGGGGAUAAGGGAGGUAGUUGGAGCAAGAAAAUGUUAUUAGUUGAAACCUUAUGGGACCUUCCUCCCUUAGUGAGUCUGUUGGCUAAAGGUUCUCUGGCUUCGUGAAUUAGAAUUGGAUACUGUUUCCAAGUUAGCAAAACCAACUCUACCCCAGCACCCCACGAGAAAGAAUGUGGAAGAGAUCUCCCAUUGGCCGGUUGGGGCAAAAGCCUGAGGCAAUCUUUCAUCCCCUUUUGCCCAGGCGAGACUUUCCCAGUGAUGGUGAUGUAGUUGGCCACUCUGUCUAGGGGAGCGUUGAGACUACGGGUGGACUCGGGUAUAGACCUGAGGCUGAGAUCACACGAAAACCUGGCCUCCCCACCAUGUAGCUGUUGGAGAGUAGAAAAAUAGAGCAGGCCUGAUGUUUCUAAAUGAGAAGAUGUUCUUCAAUAUUAAUGAAGAAUCCAUGGCACUCUCCUCACCCUCAAACACAUGGCAGCCAUUAACAUACAGGUCCCAAAGCCACUGUUAGUACUGUAGGAGCUCCUGUGGACAUUGGAAAGCCUGGAGAGGGCGUGGAGGAAAUCAGUUGGCCCCCGGCAGGUUCUCUGGAGUUUUGUGCCCAAGGCUCCUGGAGCCCUCACAAACUUUCAAAAGUUAACUCCCCACGUCCCCAUCCUGCUUGGGUUUCUGGACUUUCCUGAGGCGCCGGCAGAGGGGUCUCAUUGCUCCCUUGAGUGUAGGGGCAGCCCUUUAACCUGACUCCUUGAGUCCCUGCUUUUUCUGCUUCUGUUGCCUUCUUCCUCGUCUUCCUCUCUCCAAUACCUCCCUCUCUCUGUCCCUCCCCAAUUCCUGAGCUCGCCCUCCUGGGGUGCCCUUGGCCAGCCCCAUGUCUCCUCAGGGUGUCCCAGCACCAGCCUGGCACAGAGUGGGGCUCAGUUAGAGUAUGUGGGAUGUUGGUUUCGCCAGGUGAGUGAAUGAAAGGACUCGACCACCACAGCUGAGCCACCAGGUGGGCCAUGCGAAGAGUUCUAGGUGCAAAGGCUGGAGGGUGGAGUUCAUUUUUGAGAGACGUGUGAGCAGCUUCUGACUCCUGCCCCAUUUGAACGGGGGCCUUGCUGGUCGCGUCCCUGCAUUCACCCGCGCGGCCAUCCCGUCAUCCAACAGUUGAUCCUAACUGAGCACGCCCACGGCCCUGGCUCUGGCCUGGGCACCGGCCACCAUAGCCCAUCCCUUGAUGGCCUCUGUGUCCCCAGGAGGGCGGGCCGGGGGGUUGCCCCAGGGGCUGGAGCAGUGGACUCCGGCUCUAUAGAGGUCAGGCCGGAGGGUGUGAGGGCAGAUUCAAGCCAUCCCCAGGGCUCUGCUCUGGUCGGAGCCAGCCCCUUCUUCCUCUCUGCCUUCCCUGCCCCAUUCCUGACGCUGAGCUGUUCUGGACCCCUGGCCCUGCGUCUGUCAGGACCGAAGUGGGCACGGGAACAGCUGCAGUGUGUGCCCCCGGGCUUUGGCCACAGGUCUCCCUCUCGAGGUGUGGUUGUGACUGCGACCCUUCCCUUGCCAUGAUGCCUUCCUCCCCCGGGGCUUGGUCCAGCUCCUUCACUCUCCAGCAGCUGCUGGGGCCCACGUCCCAUGCCGAGGACCAGCAGGGGAAACCUCCAGGGAGCAUCUGCAGGCUCUGCUUCUUCCCGGCUGCUGGCUGGCUCUCCCUGGUGGCCAGCUUCCUCACCCACCCGGCACUCCACUUGCUCUGUCUCCUGAGGUGGGCCUCACCCACCUGCCCUUCUCUGCCUCAAUCCCUGGGCUCCAGGGCUCAGCUCCACAGCCCUCUGCCUAGCAGGCUGGUUCUCCCUGCCAAGCCCAUACCUGUGGUCACCUGGCCCUCCUGCGGUCUGAGUACCACUCUCCUGCCCCAGGAGCCACUCCCACUCCAGCUGCCUGUUUCCAGCAGGUUCCCAGUGCCCCCGACAAGCCCCUGCUGGUGUCUCCAUCUCCUGCCAAGCAUCCUGCAAUGCCGCCUCCUGUGGGCCUGGCCUCAGGGCUAUGGACAGACUCCUGUCCCAUCCCAGAGACCCCUCGUGAUCGUGCCCUGGCACGUGGGCCGCGGCCCAGCUGGGUCGGCUGAAGAACUGCGGAUGGAAGCUGUGGAAGAGGCCCUGAUGGGGCCCACCAUCCCGGACCCGAGUCUUCUUCCUGGAGGGCCUCUCGUCUCCUUCCUGUUUUGGGCGGAAGCCAUCACCUGGAUUCCUACGUGGGAAGGGACCUCGAAUGUGCGACCCCAGCCCCUCUCCAGCUCGAAAUCCCUCCACAGCCACGGGGACGCCCUGCACCUAUUCCCACGGGACAGGCUGGACCCAGAGACUCUGGACCCGGGGCCUCCCCUUGAGUAGAGACCCGCCCUCUGACUGAUGGACGCCGCUGACCUGGGGUCAGACCCGAGGGCUGGACCCCUGCCCACCCCGCAGGAACCCUGAGGCCUAGGGGAGCUGUUGAGCCUUCAGUGUCUGCAUGUGGGAAGUGGGCUCGUUCACCUACCUCACAGGGCUGUUGUGAGGGGCGCUGUGAUGCGGUUCCAAAGCACAGGGCUUGGCGCACCCCACUGUGCUCUCAAUAAAUGUGUUUCCUGUCUUAAC